AUAAAAAUAUCCCUAUCUACCGUAAAUGUUGGAAAACCAGUGUGCAUGUAAUCUGGUAAUCCUUAAUUAAUCAACUGUAGAUUUUUUACCUGCUAAACUGCCUGAUGAGUUGAAAAAAAUGUUCACUUUGAGACAGAUUCUUAUGUCCUGGUUCAUGCUUUCGUAAGUUGAGUUGCAAUGUCAAUUCCGUCGUAGCUUUCAGCAGAAAAUUUCUUCCUUGAUAUAACGUUUGAUGAUUCAUCGUUGAGAUAGCUUUGAACUGAUUGAUGAUGUAUGGAACUAAAAGUGCCAUUAAUCGAUGAAUCAGAGAUCAAAGUAAGAUGUGAAGCUAUAAGAGCAGGGAUCGUAACGGACAAAAGUGAACGUCUGUUCUACGUGUCUAAACUGAGACUUAUCUGAGAAAUUUAGCGGCACCACACAGAGGUUUUCACCUCGUAAUAAAGCUUAAAAUUAUUUAUCACUGGAGGAGUUUCUUUGGUAAAUUAGCAUGCUUAAAGGUACAUCCUGACGUGAGAGAAAAACAAUGGUAUUGGUACCUGAGCGUAAGUAUGUAUGUCCUUGAGUGUUCACGUAGAAAGACUCUUAACAAACAUUAAACAAGGAAACAAAACUGGACGAAGGUACUGUAAUACCUAAUUUACUUUAAAACUGCUAAAAGAAGAACCAAAAGACAAACCUCACUUAUCUUAAAUGUAUAAACACUUGGUAUCGCUCAGAAAAACCUUGAGCGAAAUGGACUCAUAUCCGUAGAAUUUGAGGAGUAAAAAGGCUGCAAUGCCAGAAAAAUGUGAGCUUCACACUCUUGAAUGGAUUCAAGAUCACAUAAUUUUAGUGAAGCGACUUUAAAUCGCUUGACUUGAGCCAAAAAUGAAGAGAGAACAAUGAGAGAAUAGAAUGGUGAGGUUUUGAGUUCUAAGAUUGGAUAUUCAGAAUUCACUUCACAAUGAGGCGAUAGACUUCUGCUCCAGGUUGUAAAACACGAUGAUAA